UGAGCGAGGGAAAGGGUAGAGGGAGCGAGAGACUGACUGACCAGGAGAAAAGAUGUUUAGGGACCUGGAGAGAAGACGAGAUUUCCAAAUGACAUCAGUUUGACCGGUUGUAAGGAAAUAGAAAGCUGUGACUGUCGAAUUGUAACAGCCCAGCACUGCGAUCAUCCUCUUUUACCGCUUCACCAAAUCUUUCCCGAACGUUACUGUUCUGGCCCAUCCUCUUCAACGCUCCAUUUCACAGUUUUUCUCUUAUUGAAUUCAACUCUGACAGUGUCCUGUUUGCCUCCAUGGAUAGAUGUUAACUAUUUGGCGAUUUGCGCAUAGGCUAUUUGGUGUGCAUACAUUUAGGCCCAAGCUUACGCACUAAUGCCAGAUAGCCUAAAAUAAUAAACUUAGCUACAUGGCCAAUAGCAAUUUAUAACCUCCCUCUUACCUUCAGUGGUUGCUCCACUAAAUGUUUUGAGAUUAUGCUGCGGGACAUUUGUGGUUUAGUAUGGUACUACUUCAUUGCUCCAGACCAGUGCAAGGGGGAGUUAGAGCACUGAUUAUGCUUACCGGGUCCUACUGUGUCUCUAACUAAAAAUGAAUUGGUGACAUAAACCUAAAUAGAAACUGAUAAUUGUGCAUGACUUCAGUAUUACUUACUAACACCGUUGUAACAACUAAGGUUUUCAUUUAAAAAUUUUGUUAGGAUUAUUUUGCUCUUGCUGAAGAAUGUGUUCUUAACUGACUUGCCUAGUUAAAUAAAAGUGUAAAAAAUAUAUAUUAUAUAUUAUAUAUAUAUUUUUAAAUCUGUGUACAAAAAUACAGAUUUCCGAUUGUUAUGAAAACUUUAAAUCGGCCCCAAUUAAUCGGCCAUUCCGAUUAAUCAGUCGACCUCUAGUUAGGACCAUAACCACGAGAGGACUUGAAAAUGAGCCGGAGCUGAGAGGAUCACCAAAACUAAAGGUAUUUUGGUUUUUAGUGAUUUUUCUUUAAAAAAAAUGUAUAUAGCCCAUCAUUGUGUAAUAAAAUCGAUAAUUAAAUAAAGGUUAAAUAAAAUAAAAAAGUUCUAUAUUGUGUACUAAAAACUAGAAUGUAUUUUUUGCAGAACAUACAACCAUGCUGAAAAUCAUCCGUGGAGACCAGUUGACAAAGGACUGGACAUGGGCCGAACCUAGAAAACACAUGGUUGCCAAGAAAGCGGCCACUGUAAUCGAUGGGGGCUCAGAGUGGUACCAUUCUGCUCAUCUGGUGAAGGUGCACAUGGAUCAGAUUCAAAUUUUGAAGACCGAGAUCGGGCCAUUGAAGGCAGACCAGCAGAAAGAGAAACAUUAUCUGAGAGCAGAGAUACGGGCAACAGCUGAUACAUUUGUUCAGAGCCAGGCGGCAUUGGCGGAGAUUCAGGUUUUUAGGAAUGAGAUGGCGUCACAAUCCAUGCCAGGCACACCUGUGAGCUCUGGAACUCCACCUCCAACAGGCAGAGUCAACAUACUUUGCGGGUUCAUCAGGUCGUCGGUUCACCCUGACAUUUCCAGUCCUCUUCUGACAACAGAACUUGACCAACUGCUCACCAGGCACAGCAAGGGCCGUCUGGACCGUUACGCUGUUCUGCUAUAGCCUAAUAAACAAAUACAGGUGGCUUAUCUUCAAAAUGCUUUAUUAUCCAAAUGUAAAUGCAUGUACUGUAUUUAUUCAUCAAAGUAAUUUAGCAUUCGUUAAUAUAAUAUUUAAAUAAAAAAAACUAUUUCAAAA